rnacentral:lncRNA from 1 species
UUGAAUUAAGGAUGUACUUAGGUGAGGUAAGGUAAAAAUUAAGAAAUUAAGAAAUUAAAAUUGAUACUAUAAGCUGGUAAGGCAUCAAUUAAGGAUAAAGAUUUGCUAAAAAUAUUGAUAGGUCAUAGACCUCCUUUUCGAGAUAUUUAAGAUUUAAAAUAUGGCGGGAAAAGACUGACUCGGACUUUUAUCUUAUAUUUGCAUUGGUAUUAUUUGGGUCUCAAAACAAAAGAAAGAAAAUCAAGAAUCUUCUAAAAUUUUGGUAAAUGACCUUUCAUGAGCUAUUAAGUCUUAUAUGAAAAAAAAGGGUGUUAUGGGGCAUAAUAUUUUACAUUGUAUUGUAUGGAAAAACACCAAGGAGUCCGAACAUUUGACACAAAUUCCAAAACCUCACCUAAGUACAUCCUUAAGGAAU